GGACGACCGCUGGCGGCGUGCUUAACACAUGCACGUCGAACGGAAAGGCCCUGCUUUUGUGGGGUGCUCGAGUGGCGAACGGGUGAGUAACACGUGAGUAACCUGCCCUUGACUUUGGGAUAACUUCAGGAAACUGGGGCUAAUACCGGAUAGGAGCUCCUGCUGCAUGGUGGGGGUUGGAAAGUUUCGGCGGUUGGGGAUGGACUCGCGGCUUAUCAGCUUGUUGGUGGGGUAGUGGCUUACCAAGGCUUUGACGGGUAGCCGGCCUGAGAGGGUGACCGGCCACAUUGGGACUGAGAUACGGCCCAGACUCCUACGGGAGGCAGCAGUGGGGAAUAUUGCACAAUGGGCGGAAGCCUGAUGCAGCAACGCCGCGUGCGGGAUGACGGCCUUCGGGUUGUAAACCGCUUUCGCCUGUGACGAAGCGUGAGUGACGGUAAUGGGUAAAGAAGCACCGGCUAACUACGUG
rnacentral:rRNA from 1 species